AGGCACGCUGGCGGCGUGUCUUAGCCAUGCAAGUCGAGCGGACUUAUGGGGUAACUUAUAAGUCAGCGGCGGACGGCGGAGUAACACGUAGCUAACCUACCCUCUGGACGGGGAUAACCUACCGAAAGGUGGGCUAAUACCCGAUGUAGUCAUCCUGUAUAGGGGUGAUGAAAGGUGGGCUUCUGUUUACAAGCUCAUGCUGGAGGAGGGGGCUGCGGCCUAUCAGGUAGUUGGUAGGGUAAUAGCCUACCAAGCCGAUGACGGGUAGCCGGCCUGAGAGGGUGACCGGCCCGAGGGGCACUGAGAUACGGGUCCCACUCCUACGGGAGGCAGCAGGCUAGAAAUUUGGGCAAUGGGGGAAACCCUGACCCAGUGACGCCGCGUGCAGGAAGGAGCCCUUCGGGGUGUAAACUGCUGUCGUGUAGGGAGAAGGGUACUAAGGUGAACAAUCUUAGUACUUGACGGUACUACAGGAGGAAGCCCAGGCUAACCUCGUG
rnacentral:rRNA from 1 species